GCUCGCUGCUGCUGCCACGUAAGAAGUGUGUUGCUUCCCCUUCGUCUUCCACCAUGAAUAACAGAAUGGCAAUUUUCGUGUGGUGUUAAUUUCCGUGGAAGAAGAAAAGGCUCGACUCUCUGUCCUAUUUUUCAUGAAUACUGGAAGUAGGGAAUAAACCUGGAGUCUCACGGGUGAAAAGAGACAUUUCCAUAUCACCAGACCACAAACGUGGAUGGAGUUUCACUCUUAUGGCCCAGGCUGGAGUGCAAUGGCGUGAUCUCAGCUCACCACAACCUCUGCCUCCCGGGUUCAAGUGGUUCUCCUACCUCAGCCUCCUGAGUAGCUGCGAUUACAGAUACAUAGCUCUGGCCAAGAAGUGUGGUUUUGAAGAGCCCAAACUGUAUCUGUUACCUGAUUUCAAAGAAUAUUCCACCUAGGAGAGACCCAGGUCCUGCAGACUUCCUCUGGACACUUUUGGCAGUCAUUGUUCCCAGCUGAUUCUGCAACAGAUGAAGGACGGAGGAUAGAAUCAUGAAUAGCAACAUCUUAAUUGCUGACUGGGUGUUGAUUCUAAGGAUACCCCCAAUAAACAUCUUUCGUGCUAAAGCCCAUUCCAGAAUUUACUUCCCAGCUAUCUUUGAUGUUCAUAUUGUCAGAGGUGGUGGCCGCUGAAACAGGCAAAGACAUGGAGCAUAUCUUGGGUCCAGGACCUUGGGAGUCCAGAGGAAGGUCUUUUUACCAUCAGCAUUCUCUACUGUGUUCAAUGACUGUCAGCCAAAGAUGGCCAGCUUUCCUUCAGAAAGAAAUGCAUUCAAAGAACCUACAUUCACAACAUAAAGAAAUAAAGGACGUUCCACCUGUUAAGGGUAAACAUAUGAUGGAAGUAUUGCCUCCUGAGAAAGCACAGUGUUCUGAUGGACAGACUAAGUAGAGGCAUAUCUUAGAAACAUGCCCCAGACGGAACAGUAAUGGCCUGUGAAUCUGUGCUUCCACAGCCUGCACCUACAGAUCUACACACAUGCCCAUGCACAUGCAGGAAGUGUUCAUCUAAGACUGGACCUUUUAGAAGAAAGCUGGCAUACAUUCGUGAAGGCAUGGGCUUCCAGGCAUGUCAUCUUCACUCACGAAGCACACACAAGACCGCCAAGCAUUAAGAUUCUCCUGUGGAGCCAGGCUACAAUCCUUUAAAUGAAGACAGACAGCUAGGUGGCUGCAGCCCAGCGCUACACCUCACCCCUCCCUCAGUGUCAUGCAGAAAAAAUGUAUUCAGAACUCAGAAGUGAAGUUGUGCAAAUCCAUCAUUGACACUAGCUUCAAGGUUACCUCGGGGGAGCAGAAUGUACCCCUGCCAGAGAGCUGGAUAGAUGAUGAUGGGGACAGAAAUUCUGGGGGAGUUGUAAAUGGCAGCCACUGCCUCUAUAGGAAACCCAAAGGGAACACAGCAGAAGAGGAGGUGGUGGAGGAGCCACUGCCCUCUCGAAGGGUUCAAUGUCAUUCUGCAGACACAACCAAAUAACUUUUUCUUCCCUGCUGCUCCUCCAUUUGAAAUGACAGCCCCGAGCUCGCUUUUUCCUUGAUUGUGUAACUCUGAUUACAGACAAGGCCAAGGCAAUCCCAGGGCAUUACUACAAAGCUAAGGGGUCCCCAAAGAACUAAAGAGUCAGCUCCACAAAAAUCCCGAUUCCUAGCAUGAAACUGAAAUAUGAAACCAAACGGGCAUAGAAAAGGUAUGUGCAUUCGAAUCACAUAGCAGUGACUGGAGUCCUGAGCUGUGUCUGAAGACUGUGAGAUCACGUUUGGAGCUGCUGAUUGGUUUUCAGUGAUGGCCCUGUUGCACAGUGCCGUGAGACUUAGCUCCAUGGCCAAAGACGAUGGUAUCCCCUAGGAGCCCUGUGAGGUUGCUGCUGUUCUCUUAAGACACCAGGUAGCCAUCUGAUCCUCCCUGAGCAAACUAACUGGGCAGACAGGUUUAUUAAACCUCUGUUGGUCCGACUUACAUGAAACAAGAGAGUUAUUUUGUUGUUGUUGUUUUGUUUUGUUUUAAAUUAAACCUGUCUUUGGAGCCUC
rnacentral:lncRNA from 1 species